UACGUAGGUGGCAAGCGUUGUCCGGAUUUACUGGGCGUAAAGAGCUCGUAGGCGGUCUGUCGCGUCGGUCGUGAAAACUUGGGGCUUAACCCUGAGCUUGCGGUCGAUACGGGCAUGACUGGAGUUCGGCAGGGGAGACUGGAAUUCCUGGUGUAGCGGUGAAAUGCGUAGAGAUCGGAAAGAACACCAACGGCGAAAGCACUCUGCUGGGCCGACACUGACACUGAGAGACGAAAGCUAGGGGAGCGAAUGGG
rnacentral:rRNA from 1 species